rnacentral:rRNA from 1 species
AUUGAACGCUGGCGGCAGGCUUAACACAUGCAAGUCGAGCGGGGUGAUGGUGCUUGCACUAUCACUUAGCGGCGGACGGGUGAGUAAUGCUUAGGAAUCUGCCUAUUAGUGGGGGACAACAUCUCGAAAGGGAUGCUAAUACCGCAUACGUCCUACGGGAGAAAGCAGGGGAUCACUUGUGACCUUGCGCUAAUAGAUGAGCCUAAGUCGUAUUAGCUAGUUGGUGGGGUAAAGGCCUACCAAGGCGACGAUCUGUAGCGGGUCUGAGAGGAUGAUCCGCCACACUGGACUGAGACACGGCCCAGACGCCUACGGGAGGCAGCAGUGGGGAAUAUUGGACAAUGGGGGGAACCCUGAUCCAGCCAUGCCGCGUGUGUGAAGAAGGCCUUAUGGUUGUAAAGCACUUUAAGCGAGGAGGAGGCUCUUUUGGUUAAUACCCAAGAUGAGUGGACGUUACUCGCAGAAUAAGCACCGGCUAACUCUGUGCCAGCAGCCGCCGUAA